AGAGUUUGAUCAUGGCUCAGGAUGAACGCUAGCGGCAGGCCUAAUACAUGCAAGUCGAGGGGUAUAGAUGGGUUUACUCGUCUAGAGACCGGCGCACGGGUGCGUAACACGUAUGCAACCUACCUAUAACUGGGGUAUAGCUCAGAGAAAUCUGAAUUAAUCCCCCAUAAGAUUACGGAAUGGCAUCAUUCAGUAAUUAAAGCUGAGGCGGUUAUAGAUGGGCAUGCGUUGCAUUAGCUAGUUGGUGAGGUAAUGGCUCACCAAGGCUACGAUGCAUAGGGGUUCUGAGAGGAUGAUCCCCCACACUGGUACUGAGACACGGACCAGACUCCUACGGGAGGCAGCAGUAGGGAAUAUUGGUCAAUGGACGCAAGUCUGAACCAGCCAUGCCGCGUGCAGGAAGACGGCCCUCUGGGUUGUAAACUGCUUUUAUAUAGGAAGAAACCUCAUGAUGCGUUGUGAGCUGACGGUACUAUAUGAAUAAGGAUCGGCUAACUUCGUGCCAGCAGCCGCGGUAAGACGAAGGAUCCAAGCGUUGUCCGGAUUUACUGGGUUUAAAGGGUGCGUAGGCGGACUCUUAAGUCAGUGGUGAAAGCCCAUAGCUCAACUAUGGAACUGCCAUUGAAACUGGGAGUCUUGAAUUCGAUUGAGGCAGAUAGAAUAUAACAUGUAGCGGUGAAAUGCUUAGAUAUGUUAUAGAAUACCGAUUGCGAAGGCAGUCUGCUAAGUCGACAUUGACGCUGAGGCACGAAAGCGUGGGGAGCGAACAGGAUUAGAUACCCUGGUAGUCCACGCUGUAAACGUUGAUUACUCGCUGUUGGCAAUACACAGUCAGCGGCUAAGCGAAAGCGUUAAGUAAUCCACCUGGGAAGUACGAUCGCAAGAU
rnacentral:rRNA from 1 species